UCUAGGAUGGUAUGGACAAUCUGAUUUGGAUUGCAGAGAGCUAAAUGGCUCCUAUGUUGUGGCAUAAUAUUUUCUCUUUAUCCUCUGUGGGUACCUCUGUGUGUCAGAGAACUGAGAAAGACUCACCACAGCUACUCAAGGAAGAUGGAACCAGAAUGAGAAAUUUUCCACUUGGACUCGGGAAAAGGAAUGAAGGAAAAAGUUCUUAACGGACACUACCCAAGAGCACGAUGACAGGCACAGAAGUGACAAGGAAUUCUGAAAGUCCAGAGGUGAGUGA